rnacentral:rRNA from 1 species
UACAGAGGUCUCAAGCGUUGUUCGGAUCCACUGGGCGUAAAGGGUGCGCAGGCGGCCGAGUGUGUUAGAUGUGAAAUCCCGGGGCUCAACCCCGGAACUGCGUCUAAAACUACUUGGCUAGAGUAUUGGAGAGGGUAUCGGAAUUCACGGUGUAGCAGUGAAAUGCGUAGAUAUCGUGAGGAACACCAGAGGCGAAGGCGGAUACCUGGACAAUUACUGACGCUCAGGCACGAAAGCGUGGGGAGCAAAAGGG